CGGGCGGCUCAGGUCCCGAGACUACGACGGCGAGUGUGAUGGCGCUCUCUCCCAGGACCCGCGGUCUGGGAGCUCCGCGAGGCCACCUCCACGGUUUAUAGGACCCCGGGCAUUGGCUGGCGCCACUGGUGUGUGAUGGACGGGCGCAUCCGGAGGACCCUGUACCCAACUGACGUACCAGGCUCCUGGCAACUCUUCUAGCCUUUCAUUGAGUGCCUUUUGGGUCUUGCACGCAGUCUCUGUUCCUUAGCACAUCUAGUCUACUCUGGGUGCCUCUUCCCAGCAGCUAGGGGUCUCACUUCCCCAGGGACAGAGGUAUGGGUCCCUAACCCUAACACUAGCUAGCCUCAUGGAGACCCAAAACUAGAGAGGACGCAAGAGGGGAGACGUACCACCACACUGCAGGGGUAAGAAUGCACACAGGAGCAGGAUUUGUAUCACGGAGAGAGCGGAGAUCUUCGGGGAAGGGGGAGGGGGAGGGCAGCAGGGUGUAGAAGAAUGAAUGUGAGGUCGCCAGGUCGGUCAGUGUAAAGGCCAUUCUUGGCAAAGGGAAGAACUCAUGCAGAGACGGCAGGCAGGCAGAGAGUAAUUGCUGAAGGGAAGAAAGAAUCUUCCCACCCAGCUCAGAGACGGAUGGUGGAGCCCUGGAGUCAGAAGACCGAAUCCCAGCUCUGCUGUUUACUGUCCAGACAUCCCUGGGCAGAUCCCUUCUCUCUCGGAGCCUCAAGACCUGCGUUUAUAAAACGGGUAUACCAAUUCCCUCCUGGGUAAGCCUGAGGUGAAUGGAUGCGAGUUAAAGUUUACCCAAAUAAAUGGUAUUAAUUCAUGGUGUCGGAAUUUCAACCACUCCCCUUCCUAUUGCCAUGGUGGCCCUCGAAGGCAAAGUGGAGUGACCAAGCAGCGUUACCCCUGCCUUUCACACCCUACCUGCUCAAACAGACACCCAUGACCUGGUUGAAAUUUCAUUUCUCUAACUUUUCCCUGUGAAAGUUGUAUGACCCCUGGAGGCUGUCUUUAGAGGUACAGUCAUCAGAAGCUAUUGACCCUGGGUCAGAGAUUAGACUCUCAGGCCUGCUAGUCUAUUUUGGGGUGGCUGAGUCCUGUGAAAUAGGAUUGAACUUCAACCAAGGAGGGAACACCAGAAA